rnacentral:rRNA from 1 species
GACAGAGGGUGCAAACGUUGCUCGGAAUCACUGGGCGUAAAGGGCGUGUAGGCGGGAAUGUAAGUCGGGCGUGAAAUCCCUAGGCUCAACCUAGGAACUGCACUCGAAACUGCGUUUCUUGAGUAUCGGAGAGGAAAGCGGAAUACCUGGUGUAGAGGUGAAAUUCGUAGAUAUCAGGUGGAACACCAGUGGCGAAGGCGGCUUUCUGGACGAUUACUGACGCUGAGACGCGAAAGCGUGGGGAGCAAACAGG